rnacentral:rRNA from 1 species
UGAGGCGGAGCUAAUCCCUUAAAGCCAUUCUCAGUUCGGAUUGUAGGCUGAAACUCGCCUACAUGAAGCUGGAGUUACUAGUAAUCGCAGAUCAGAAUGCUGCGGUGAAUGCGUUCCCGGGUCUUGUACGCACCGCCCGUCACACCACGGAAGUUGGGGGCGCCCGAAGCCACUUAGCUAACCCUUUUGGGAAGCGAGUGUCGAAGGUGAAAUCAAUAACUGGGGUGAAGUCGUAACAAGGUACC